CGGGUGAGUAAUGCCUAGGAAUCUGCCCGAUAGUGGGGGACAACGUUUCGAAAGGAACGCUAAUACCGCAUACGUCCUACGGGAGAAAGUGGGGGAUCUUCGGACCUCACGCUAUCGGAUGAGCCUAGGUCGGAUUAGCUAGUUGGUGAGGUAAUGGCUCACCAAGGCGACGAUCCGUAACUGGUCUGAGAGGAUGAUCAGUCACACUGGAACUGAGACACGGUCCAGACUCCUACGGGAGGCAGCAGUGGGGAAUAUUGGACAAUGGGCGAAAGCCUGAUCCAGCCAUGCCGCGUGUGUGAAGAAGGUCUUCGGAUUGUAAAGCACUUUAAGUUGGGAGGAAGGGCUGUCGGCUAAUACCCUGCAGUUUUGACGUUACCAACAGAAUAAGCACCGGCUAACUUCGUGCCAGCAGCCGCGGUAAUACGAAGGGUGCAAGCGUUAAUCGGAAUUACUGGGCGUAAAGCGCGCGUAGGUGGUUCAGCAAGUUGGAUGUGAAAGCCCCGGGGCUCAACCUGGGAACUGCAUCCAAAACUACUGAGCUAGAGUACGGUAGAGGGUGGUGGAAUUUCCUGUGUAGCGGUGAAAUGCGUAGAUAUAGGAAGGAACACCAGUGGCGAAGGCGACCACCUGGACUGAUACUGACACUGAGGUGCGAAAGCGUGGGGAGCAAACAGGAUUAG
rnacentral:rRNA from 1 species